GGGCCAGUAGCUCAGCUUGGUCAGAGCGGCUGACUCAUAAUCAGCUGGUCCACGGUUCAAAUCCGUGCUGGCCCA
rnacentral:tRNA from 2 species